AACACUGUUAACCUGCGGUACCUGCGGAGGGAUCAUUAACGAGUGAGGGUCCCCCCGCGGGCCCGACCUCCCAACCCUUUUGUCUACAGAACCUCCGUUGCUUCGGCGGACCCGUCCCCACGACCGCCGGGGGAGCCGUCCCCCCGUGGGCGUCCCCUGGCCCGCGUCCGCCGGUGGCCAACCUCUCUAAACUCUCGCCUGAACCGUGUCUCCAUGUCUAAGUCCAUGAUGCAAAUCAAA
rnacentral:misc_RNA from 1 species